GACGAACGCUGGCGGCGUGCCUAAUACAUGCAAGUAGAACGCUGAAGAGAGGAGCUUGCUCUUCUUGGAUGAGUUACGAACGGGUGAGUAACGCGUAGGUAACCUGCCUUGUAGCGGGGGAUAACUAUUGGAAACGAUAGCUAAUACCGCAUAACAAUGGAUGACACAUGUCAUUUAUUUGAAAGGGGCAAUUGCUCCACUACAAGAUGGACCUGCGUUGUAUUAGCUAGUAGGUGAGGUAACGGCUCACCUAGGCGACGAUACAUAGCCGACCUGAGAGGGUGAUCGGCCACACUGGGACUGAGACACGGCCCAGACUCCUACGGGAGGCAGCAGUAGGGAAUCUUCGGCAAUGGGGGCAACCCUGACCGAGCAACGCCGCGUGAGUGAAGAAGGUUUUCGGAUCGUAAAGCUCUGUUGUAAGUCAAGAACGAGUGUGAGAGUGGAAAGUUCACACUGUGACGGUAGCUUACCAGAAAGGGACGGCUAACUACGUG
rnacentral:rRNA from 1 species